rnacentral:misc_RNA from 1 species
CACAAAUUAAAAUAUGAAGGCUUCGGCUGGAUUAUUUUUAUCACCCUUGUCUUUUGCACACUUGUUGUUUCCUGGGCGGGUUCGCCCGCCACCAGGACCACACCAUAAACCUUUUUUAUGCAGUUGCAAUCAGCGUCAGUAUAACAAAUGUAAAUCAUUUA